rnacentral:rRNA from 1 species
UACGGGGGGGCAAGCGUUGUUCGGAAUUACUGGGCGUAAAGGGCUCGUAGGCGGCCAAUUAAGUCAGACGUGAAAUCCCCAGGCUUAACCUGGGAACUGCGUCUGAUACUGGUUGGCUUGAAUUCGGGAGAGGGAUGCAGAAUUCCAGGUGUAGCGGUGAAAUGCGUAGAUAUCUGGAGGAACACCGGUGGCGAAGGCGGCAUCCUGGACCGACAUUGACGCUGAGGCGCGAAAGCCAGGGGAGCAAACGGG